CAGAGGGGAAGACCAUCACCCUGACAUGCCCUCAUGAUGUUGGAGGAUCAGUUCCCACAUGGAGCAGAGGCUCUGGUGAAAUACAUCAAGAAAAAGGAUUUUAUGUUUCACCUUUAGACAACACAUUGACAGAUGUACAGCUUGGUGACUCUGGACUUUACUACUGUGAUGGAAAACCCGCUGUGUAUCUGACUGUGAUCAAAGCUGCUUCUAAAGAACGUUUGGUGGGUGGACUGGUUGUCUCCUUACUUGUCCUCAUCAUCCUUGUCAUUAUCAUCAUCUACUUCACUCGGAGACGCAGGUUGAAAAGACAAGACAGAUGUCCCGUCUAUGAUGAGAUACAGGAUGGAUUUGUGUUGCAGCCAAUAAAUGCUGGAUCAAACCAAAAUGAUCCUACAUACUCAACCAUCCCAGAUCUUCCUCCAGUGCAGAAGAAGACCAACACAUCUCUGCAUAUAGAGUCCCCAUAUUCCUUGAUUGGCAACACUUUCACUGAUGAAAAAAAUAAAGGUUCAUCACAGCUCAGUGACAACACGUAUUUUUUACUGGAGAAACCCAAAGUGCCUGGAAACAACAAGGACCAAUAUCUGUAGUUUGACCUCAAUAUUGUGCUAUUGUCACGUAAAAAAACUUGUUUUUAGAAAAAUAUUGUGAGAAAAAUGUUUAGCU